GCCCUUGUAGCUCAAUUGGAUAGAGCGUCUGACUUCGGAUCAGGAGGUUGCAGGUUCGACUCCUGCCAGGGGCACCA
rnacentral:tRNA from 2 species